AAGUUAAAAAAAGAUGAUAAACUGUAUGGGUUUAGUUUUUAGGGUGCUGAGUUUUUGUAUAAUCAAGUAAAGCCUUUAUUUUUUGCAACAUGCAAAGGGCAGAGGGCUGAGGACAGAGGCGAUAGGAUAGAAAUGCCGUGUUUGGUUGUUAAAUGAUUGUGAAUGGAUGAAACUAAAAUGUGUCAUCCAUUUUAUCUUUGCUUGUAUUGUU
rnacentral:misc_RNA from 1 species